rnacentral:rRNA from 1 species
AUUGAACGCUAGCGGGAUGCCUUACACAUGCAAGUCGAACGGAGUGGCGAACGGGUGAGUAAUGUAUCGGAACGUGCCCAGUAGCGGGGGAUAACUACGCGAAAGCGGAGCUAAUACCGCAUACUAUUGGAGCGGCCGAUAACGGAUUAGCUAGUGGGUGGGGUAAAGGCUAACCAAGGGGACGAGCCGUAGCUGGUUUGAGAGGACGAACAACCACGCGGGGACUGAGAAACGGCCCCUACUCCUACGGGAGGCGGCAGUGGGGAAUUUUGGCCAAGUGGGGAAACCCUAAUGCAGACAUCCCGUGUGGGAGGUGAGGGCCUGCGGGUUGUAAAGUACUUUUGGCAGGAAGGCGGUACCUGCAGAAUAAGCAACGGCUAACUACGUGCCAGCCGCCGCGGUAAUAC